GACAGAGGGGGCAAGCGUUGCUCGGAAUUACUGGGCGUAAAGGGCGCGUAGGCGGGAUGGCAAGUCAGUCGUGAAAUCUCUCGGCUCAACCGAGAAACGUCGGCUGAUACUGCCGUUCUUGAGGGAUGCAGAGGAGACUGGAAUUCCCGGUGUAGCGGUGAAAUGUGUAGAGAUCGGGAGGAACACCGGUGGCGAAGGCGGGUCUCUGGGCAUUUCCUGACGCUGAGGCGCGAAAGCGUGGGGAGCAAACGGG
rnacentral:rRNA from 1 species